UUAACUGCGUGUGACUGGCGAUUGAGGUGGGCAACCACCGGGGAGCACGGGGGCCAUAGACGCCGCUCGCCUGGGCAUUCCUU
rnacentral:ncRNA from 1 species